rnacentral:tRNA from 1 species
GCCUGGCUGGCUCAGUCGGUGGGGCAUGUGAUUCUUGAUCUUGGGGCUGUGAGUUCAAGUCCCAUGUUGGGUG